rnacentral:lncRNA from 1 species
CAAUGUCUACCAGCAACAAGGGUGGUAGCAGCGGUGACAACGGACAACAAAACCGGCAACAACAUUGCAGUAUCCUGCAUAGAUAGGUUUUUAUUACUGCAAAAUUGAUCCCGGCAGCGCUACCGGUAGUUGCGGUAGAUAGGAUUGUACAUGCAGGUCUCUGCAUAUUGCACCAGGUCUCUGGGCGCAGGCAGACGGGUCGCCAAACCUGCAGAGGAAAGUUUGAGACUUUGGAGGCGAAUGGAAAGAUUUGGAGGUCUACUCAGGGAAACGGAAGCAGAACAGAAAACUUUGGAAAUGUAUCUACAGAAGGAAAGGAGGGUGAAGCGUACCGAGCUCAUAGGCUUUUGCAGCCACGGCGGCAGCAAUGUGAGCGGAGAUCUUUCUGAUGCUGCUGAAGGGCGGGAAGAUCGAUCCCUUCUCAAAGUUCUCCUGAUUGGCCUGAUCAGCUAGUGCUUCCGCUGUUUAAAUGAUUACAGCCAUGAGAUUGCUUCACAUCAAACCCUCCCUAGUUUCCCAUUUGGAUACAUAAUUAACAUUUACAUAUGUUCAUUGACUCCAUUAAGAAGGUACUUACAGGCAGCAAGAAGCAUGUCCUCAUGGACACGGGUGGCUCCAGCCAUAAUCAGACCAAGGCCAAGGCCAGGGAAAAUGUAAGCAUUGUUUGCCUGUCAUGAGUAGCGCAAUUGAGUUAGUAAUGAACUUGUGCUUUCAAAUAGCAGGUGCUUAGAUCAGUAAGGUUGUGUUGCCUCGGAGAAGUAUUAGAUAAAAGAACUACCUGCCCAGGUACAAAAGUCUUCCCAUCGUACUCAACAGGGUUAAAUGGACUACCACUGGCAAAUACAGCACGCCCCUGCAAAUAAAGAGACAUAAGUCCCAUUGUACUCCACAAAGUUUGUUUUCUCAAAUUUAGGCACACUUCUUUUUUUUUCUGGCCAAUUAGGUCACCAUUUAAAUGGUACUUGCACUGAGAUAAAUUUGCAGAUGCGACUCUGCCGAGUGUUGAGAGAGCUCACCUUGGUCCAGUUAUAUGCUUGUUCAGCAGUACAUUCAGAAUGUGAAGUUGGAUUUGACAGUGAAAAGAUGACAGGCCUCU